GAUGAACGCUGGCGGCGUGCCUAAUACAUGCAAGUCGAGCGAACAGACGAGGAGCUUGCUCCUCUGACGUUAGCGCCGGACGGGUGAGUAACACGUGGAUAACCUACCUCUAAGAAUGGGAUAACUUCGGGAAACCGGAGCUAAUACCGGAUAAUAUAUUGAACAGCAUGGGUCAAUAGUGAACGACGGUUUUGAUUUCACUUAUAGAUUGAUCCGCGCCUCAUUAGCUAGUUGGUAAGGUAACGGCUUACCAAGGCAAGGAUGCGUAGCCGACCUGAGAGGGUGAUCGACCACACGGGAACUGAGACACGGUCCAGACUCCUACGGGAGGCAGCAGUAGGGAAUCUUCCGCAAUGGGCGAAAGCCUGACGUAGCAACGCCGCGUGAGUGAUGAAGGUCUUCGGAUCGUAAAACGCUGUUAUUAGGGAAGAACAAAUGUGUAAGUAACUAUGCACGUCUUGACGGUACCUAAUCAGAAAGCCACGGCUAACUACGUG
rnacentral:rRNA from 1 species